rnacentral:rRNA from 1 species
GACGAACGCUGGCGGCGUGCUUAACACAUGCAAGUCGAACGGAAAGGCCCUGCUUUUGUGGGGUGCUCGAGUGGCGAACGGGUGAGUAACACGUGAGUAACCUGCCCUUGACUUUGGGAUAACUUCAGGAAACUGGGGCUAAUACCGGAUAGGAGCUCCUGCUGCAUGGUGGGGGUUGGAAAGUUUCGGCGGUUGGGGAUGGACUCGCGGCUUAUCAGCUUGUGGGUGGGGUAGUGGCUUACCAAGGCUUUGACGGGUAGCCGGCCUGAGAGGGUGACCGGCCACAUUGGGACUGAGAUACGGCCCAGACUCCUACGGGAGGCAGCAGUGGGGAAUAUUGCACAAUGGGCGGAAGCCUGAUGCAGCAACGCCGCGUGCGGGAUGACGGCCUUCGGGUUGUAAACCGCUUUCGCCUGUGACGAGGCGUGAGUGACGGUAAUGGGUAAAGAAGCACCGGCUAACUACGUG